GCCUGGGUGGCUUAGUUGGUUAAGCAUCUGACUUUUGAUCUCAGCUCAGGUCUUAAUCUCAGGGUUGUGAGUUCAAGCCCCACACUAGGCU
rnacentral:tRNA from 1 species